rnacentral:rRNA from 1 species
GUGUCAGCCGCCGCGGUAAUACGUAGGGUGCGAGCGUUAAUCGGAAUUACUGGGCGUAAAGCGUGCGUAGGCGGUUGUUCAAGCUCGAUGUGAAAGCCCCGGGCUUAACCUGGGAAUGGCACUGAGGACUGGACAGCUGGAGUGCGGCAGAGGGAGGUGGAAUUCCACGUGUAGCAGUGAAAUGCGUAGAGAUGUGGAGGAACACCGAUGGCGAAGGCAGCCUCCUGGGCCGACACUGACGCUGAUGCACGAAAGCGUGGGGAGCAAACAGGAUUAGAUACCCUGGUAGUCCACGCCCUAAACGAUGUCAACUGGUUGUUGGGGAAGGCAACUUCCUUAGUAACGAAGCUAACGCGUGAAGUUGACCGCCUGGGGAGUACGGCCGCAAGGUUAAA